UGGAGAAUGUCAUAGGUAAGAGCAGACAGAAAUAGACUUAUUUCAGAAUAACUGGUUCCAGUCUAUUCAGCUAUGUAUGCCUAAAUUAAUCGCUCCGUGCCAUGGGAGUCUUAUAUGUAACCCAGAACUAGGUCACAUGCCUAAACGUCUUAACAGCCUAGUAUGUUUAAAAUAGUGUAAGUGUGGGAAAGUUGAGGGCACUAAAUAUGUUAGAUAUCAUCAUCAGAAACUAAAAAUACAAUUAAUUUUAGGUACAUCAUUAGACUCUGUACAAUCUAUUUUUUGCUGAAUUUUAAUAUUUAGUGCUUUCUAGCUUUGUAGUUAGUGCACUGGUUUUCCAGAAUGAUAGUUUACUGGAGUAUUAUUUUUGUUUUAAAGUAAAAUUCUGACACUUCAUACAUUUGUGGAUGACAGACUGUUCCCAAGCUAACCAUGACUUAUUUAAAAUGGAAUUGUACUUGUAUCAAGUGGUCUCAGUGCUUCCCUGCAUAAAGUGUUUUCCCAUUGUUUUUAGUUUUCGGCACUUUCAGAGAGGCAUCUUGUUGACCACGCGGUCUCAUCCCAACGUGGACCCUGAUUUCUGUGUAGGUGCGCCAACGCCCUCUGCUGGUCAAACUGCAGCAGAUAUUAACUGAAAGAUUUGUGAUUCCUUAUGACUAUCUUCACUUCUGACAUCAACUACAAGUUCAAGGACAUCAGUCUCAGAACUCAGAAAAAUCAUAAUAUUCCAUGACAGAUGAUUUCAGCAAAAGCUACAGAAACAUAAGGCAAGUCCAGGAGACAUGAACGUGUGGAAUUUGAAUUUUUCUUCUGCCAGUGGAGCAGUGCAGACAGUGCAUAUUCCUCAGAAAUGACGUGUGGAUAUCCAAUUUUCCUAGCUCCGCUUAUUAAAGAGGCUAGGUUUCCUCCAGUGUGUUUCUGACCCUUUGGCCUAUUAUCAAGUAGCUGUAUAUGCCUGGGGUUGUUUCUGCUUCUUCAUAUUUUUCCAUUGAUCCCCUUGCCUGUUUUCAUGCCAGUACCAUGCUAUUUUAAUCAGCAUAGCUUUACAGGACAGUAGAACUUCAAGACUGGAAUUCUGAUGUCACUAGCUUUGCAUUUGUUACCCAGGAUUGUUUUUCAUAUUGUGGGUCUCUUGUUUCACAUGAAUUUUAAGACUGUUUUUUCUAGAUCUGUGAGAAGGCCAUUGGUAUUUUUUUUUCUCUUAGAUCAGGGUUGCAUUAAAUCUGUAUGUCAGUUUCAGAA
rnacentral:lncRNA from 1 species